rnacentral:lncRNA from 1 species
CAGAAUAAUUUUUAAUUAUUUAGUCUUAGAUGCUUGCAUUUUACUAAAUUUAAAGUCCUUGUACCAACUAUCACACAAUUUGAGAGAAAAAAUAAAUAGUAAAAUGAAAGAAAAACAAAUGCUAAUAACUAUGAUCUUUAUACCUUAUAAAUUAGAGGCUCUAUGCUGAAUAUUUUCUAUCUUUAUAUGUUAUAUUGAUAUACUCGACAAAGUAUUGCAUUCAUUUACUUUGUUUAAAAACCUUGCUAUUGUUUAUUGCCUAAUUUUGUAGAUUUUAUUAUCUAGUGCUGGUUUGCUGGAGGAGAUUUAUGUAUAUAGGUUGUUAUUUAAUGAUGUCUGACCAAGUUUUUUUUAUUUAUGGACAUAAAAAUAAACAAUUUAUUGAAAUAUGAACUAUUUUGUAAUAAUAAUUGAAAUGUGAACCAUUCGUUUGUAGGGGUAAUAUUAGAAGUGUGUCAAACAUUUAUUUUAUGGUUUUACAUAGAUAUGAUGUAUAAGUUGUUUUAUUACUUUUUGAUAAGAAUGCCUGGUUGAAUUAUUGGUUUCCACAAUAUCAAUGGAAACUCAACUUACCUAAAACUAAUUGUCUAAGCCUUAUAAUAUAGACUUUUUAAAGCACUUUAACCAAUAUUUUUCAACAUUAACUUUUUGUGAACCAUCAGAGUAAAAUGAUGGGUGAUGCUGAGGUUAUUAAUUGAAAAUAUUUUGCAAUGAGAUUUUUAAAUGCUGGUGUUGUACAAAUUUGUAAAUUUAAGCCAUAGAAAUUCAUCCAGCUUCCUAAACCUUCUUGCACCUUGGUAUUCAAAAAAGAACUGUCUCUUUUCACAAAAAAAUCUUAUGAUAAAAAAUUAACUGUAUGUUAGCCUUCUUAUAUGGAUUUACUGAAAUGCUCAUGGCUUACAACUACUUUUUCUCUCUAGAUUUAUUUUGAAAAGACUAGCUGAUCAUUAUAAUAAAUCAUAAUAAUCAAAUAGAUGUUGGAAGAUUUUUGCUGAUGAAAAUGUUAACUAACAUCAUUUCUCAGAGAGUAUAUUGGACAAUUUGAUAAAUUUUCAAAGAUUUACUUUCUACUUGUAUUGAUAGAGGUUACAUCAAUAAUUAAAGAGCAAUAAACAGUUAGAAUCUUUUCCUGAAAUUUUUAUUCUUAACUCUCUCCAAAAAAGUUAAGAAAAAAAAUUAUUUAAAAAAGCUUUUAUUUCAAUUAUUUAUAUUGUUUCCAUCAUGUCCAUGGUAAUACUAGUUAUAUUGCGCCAAAGUGCACCAUGUGUUAGUACAGUGUUUUGUUUGAAUUGUUUGUUAUAUUUGUUUAUUAUUGACCAUGACUUGUGAUUAUGUGAUAUUAAUUGUUUUUCUCCGUCCGUUAUCAUUAAAGUUUUUUUUAGAGAACCUUG